rnacentral:rRNA from 1 species
UACGGAGGGGGCUAGCGUUGUUCGGAAUUACUGGGCGUAAAGCGCACGUAGGCGGCUUUGUAAGUUAGAGGUGAAAGCCCAGGGCUCAACCCUGGAACUGCCUUUAAGACUGCAUCGCUUGAAUUGUGGAGAGGUAAGUGGAAUUCCGAGUGUAGAGGUGAAAUUCGUAGAUAUUCGGAAGAACACCAGUGGCGAAGGCGACUUACUGGACACAUAUUGACGCUGAGGUGCGAAAGCGUGGGGAGCAAACAGG